GAUGAACGCUAGCGGCAGGCUUAAUACAUGCAAGUCGAGGGGCAGACACGGGUAGGCAAUACCUGGUGGCGACCGGCAAACGGGUGCGGAACACGUACAGAACCUUCCUUUAAGCGGGGAUAGCCCAUAGAAAUGUGGAUUAAUACCCAUAGUAAUAUUAGUUGGCAUCAAUUGAUAUUUAAAGAGUUUAUCAACUUAAAGAUGGCUGUGC
rnacentral:rRNA from 1 species